rnacentral:misc_RNA from 1 species
GAGAAAGGCAUAUAAGUCAAUACAUGACAAAUGAAACAAAAGAGAACUCUAAACUUUCUACUAGAGUGAUGUUCUUCAAUUAAUUCAUCAAUCUAUGAACAUACUCGCUUCUAUCAACACUUUCUGACUGAUUAAAAUGGCAAACCAAAUGUGAAAUUCAAGGUGAUCUUCAGAAUCAACAAGGAAUUUAAGAAAACAACAAAGGUCUAACUUUAAUCUCCAAAAACAGACAGAAAAUUGGCGCAUCCACAGCAAAUUUCAAGAUGCAUAGAGAUUUCGACCUCCAAUGACAGGGUAAAAUGGUACAAGCAAAUUGAAUCCUCCACUUAUCUUUUUCCCUAGCCACUAAAUGAAGCAAUUUCUUAUGUCCUUCCCAAUGGGAUGAGUAGUUGACAACAUCUAAUGAACAAGAUGCUCUGACCUAACAAGACUGGGACUGGUAGGCGCAGAAUGAACAUAAGACCUAAGGAGAUGAAGCCUAGCUAAUUUCGAAGAAGACUUACCGGUGAAGAUUAAGAUGUUCCAUUAUCGAGCCAACUAGGAAAUUAAAAGAGUCAAUACCUUGGUACUCAAUGUAAUUCAGUGAAAAGCUAAUUCAUUUUUUACCUUGGCAAGGCCGAUCACCGCAA